rnacentral:rRNA from 1 species
AGUGAACGCUGGCGGUAGGCCUAACACAUGCAAGUCGAACGGCAGCACAGUAAGAGCUAGCUCUUACGGGUGGCGAGUGGCGGACGGGUGAGGAAUACAUCGGAAUCUACUUUUUCGUGGGGGAUAACGUAGGGAAACUUACGCUAAUACCGCAUACGACCUACGGGUGAAAGCAGGGGAUCUUCGGACCUUGCGCGAUUGAAUGAGCCGAUGUCGGAUUAGCUAGUUGGCGGGGUAAAGGCCCACCAAGGCGACGAUCCGUAGCUGGUCUGAGGGGAUGAUCAGCCACACUGGAACUGAGACACGGUCCAGACUCCUACGGGAGGCAGCAGUGGGGAAUAUUGGACAAUGGGCGCAAGCCUGAUCCAGCCAUACCGCGUGGGUGAAGAAGGCCUUCGGGUUGUAAAGCCCUUUUGUUGGGAAAGAAAAGCAGCAGGUUAAUACCCCGCUGUUCUGACGGUACCCAAAGAAUAAGCACCGGCUAACUUCGUG